rnacentral:rRNA from 1 species
GUAGAAUACUGCGUUUGUUUUGGCUUCGGAGGGGACGAAGAGUCAAAAUCCCUAAACAGUCGUCCCCAUCUCUAGUUGCAUCCCGCCGCCUCCUCCGCGUCUGGCGCCGCCGCACCCCAUCUGGUGCUUGACCCCAAUCCCGCCGCUGCCGCCCCACGCCUCCAGCGCCGUCUCCAUCCCAUGGAGGGCCGCUCCCUUGCCUUGCCGUCCAGCCACUCCUACGCCGCCUCCCUCUCGUCGAGGGACGCCUCCCUCGCCGUCCAGCGCCGCCCCCUCGCUGUCCAGCGGCUCCAGUGCCGCCUCCAUCCCGAUCGAUAGGCGCCUCCCUCGCCGUCCAGCCACCCCAGCGCCGCCUCUCUCCCCGUUGACUGGGUCCUCCCUCGCCGUCCAUAUCUGCUUCCCUUGCCGUCCAGAUCUGAUCCCCACGACGGCCAGCAGCCUCACCCUUCUGUCUCCCUCCCAGUCCAGCUCCUCCCACUGCCGAGUCAAGUCUUGGCGAACUACAACCGACCUGAGGAGAGGAAGACCCAAUAAAGGGUCCGAGGCUAGCAUGUCAGCUACCACGGCAAGGAAGGAGGCAAGUUUCCCACUACAUUCAUCCUCUGCAGUCUAAAACUCUAAAUGUAAUACACAUGCACCAAGCCUUAUUACCAAGAAACACGUGGAAUGUGAGGCGGCGGCGAAGCAUUAGCUAGCGCGGGUGCGUCACCUCUGUGGUAUUGUGGGCAAUCACGGUUUUGGCAAGCUCACUGGAAUCAAGUGAGGGCAGUGAGAUAACGACGAAUGUGGCAGCGAGAAAUGAUGGUUCUCCUGAUCUUCCUUUCUGUGGUAUCUUCUAAGGCAUCCCUGAUAUGUCUCUUUUUGGUUCUUAAAUGAUUCUUGCUAUGAAUAGUUCAUCUCCUAAAUAUAUCUUAAUUGUGUUUGUCUCUAGGAGCGCGACAUCGUAACCCAGACAAGUUCUUUCCAGAUUUAGAUAUUUAGCUCAACAUUAAAAUCACAACUUCGUGAGAUUCUAAACCUGAAGGGAGAGCACUACGUAGCGUUCCUAUUUGAUAGCUCUCUCUGUCAUAUCUCAUUUGAUAGCUGCAUCCAUGCCGGUGCUAAAUGCUUUUUACUUGGUUGCGCUGCUGAAAUUGAGCUGAAUUACACUUCUACAACUUUGUAGCUAUAUGUGAGCCUCCCACUAAUUUUUUGACAGUUGCUUCAUUAGGUACACUCAUCAUUCAUGGUUUUUUAUUACAGUUUCUUAGCAUACAUGAUAUGCUUACCAACAGGUUUGUGGUACUACUGUCUUCAAACAUUUCAAAGCUUAAGACAUGGCAAACUGAUGAGUUGGAAAACAUUAUGAUGCUAUCACCAAUUCAUUUUAAGCAUACAUAUAUAGCAGUUCUUAAUUCUUGGUGAUCAAAAUGCGGAUGAUUUAAGGUACUAAGUGAUGUUCUAACAUAUUUUCCACUUACCUAUGUUGUUUUACAUAUGCCCAUUAUUUUCUAUUCAUGUUACCUAAGGUAUUUCCCGCUAACAAGUUAUUUUCUUUGUGAUUAUUAGGUUCCAAACCUGCUGUUUGAUGUUGCCGGUAUUGUGUUUGGUCAAUGGUAUACCUUCUAGGAGUUCUUCUUUGCAACUUUGAUUGGGAAGACCAGCAUCAAGACUCGUAUUCAGGUGGAUGAAUCUUCCCAAGCCUAAGAGCUUGCUGGUACUCUGUUUGGCAGCUUCUUCCCAUGCUGAGAAGACCAUGGUGCUACUCCGACCAAGGAGAAUCAUUUAGGAAUGUAUUUUCUGACUGUUCAGCUUCGUUUGUCUUUUGGAGGGGCUAGAUGGAGCAGCUCUUGUUCUUUUUAAGUUUUUGGGAACCAUGAGUUGGAAUAUCAUUUUGUGAACAAUUCAAGAUAUUGCAAUGAAUGUGAUCUUAUUUACUCGGUUGUGCAUAUUGCUGUGCAGAAAUAUAAA